GACGAACGCUGGCGGCGUGCUUAACACAUGCAAGUCGAACGAAGUGGCGAACGGGUGAGUAAUACGUGAGUAACCUGCCCUCCUUUUUGGGAUAAGCCUUGGAAACGGGGUCUAAUACCGAAUAAAGGGGGAUGGGCUCGCGGCCUAUCAGCUUGUUGGAGGGGUGAUGGCCUACCGAGGCGGUGACUGGUAGCCGGCCUGAGAGGGUGACCGGCCCAAUUGGAACUGAGAUACGGCCCAGACUCAUGCGGUAGGGAGCAGUAGGGGAUAUUGCGCAAUGGGCGAAGGCAUGAUGCAGCGGCGCCGCAUGGGGGACGAAGGCUUUCGGGUUGUAAACCUCUUUCACUAACGAACGGGUAGGUGGAGAAGAAGCACCGGCUAACUACGUGCCAGCCGCCGCGGUAAUAC
rnacentral:rRNA from 1 species